AUGAGACACUUUCUCUUACAAUUUCCCUUUCCUCCAAAUAGCAAGCCCUAUUUACUUGCGGGAAUAGUCACCGACUCUAAGGACCACACCCACUCGCUCAGACGGAAAGAGCUGGCAAAGUUAAGUGCAGCUAUUAUGUGGGCAAACCUUGGAGUUGCUUCCUCCUCCUGCGCUGUCGUGCCAUGUGCUCACCGCUCCCUCUCCACCCAGGCACGUAUGAAGGUACUGCCCCCGGAACCCUCCCCUCCAGGGUCGGGCUGGAGAGGGCCUGGUGACCGAGCGGGGAGGCAGAGCAGUGUCAUGGGAAGUUCCGAGACUGAGGGAGGAGACCCAACCAUCUGUCCCUGGACAGGUCUGAUGGAGGAAAGUUACACAUAUGCACACAAACACACACACACACACACACACACACACACGGGGUUGGGGGGAGAGAGAUGUGCUCAGGACACAAAAGCAUCAGCAAAUGCAUCAGUCCCCUUGGCCCCUGGGAUAAAUGGUUGACCCAAAGGGCAGCUAUUUCACUGUCUUGAAGAUUUUUUGAAAAUUAUGAAGAAAAGCAAGCAAACAAACAAACAAAAAAACCCACAAAAGCUGUGUCCUGGCUCUUGCAGCAACUUGAGUAGUUUUGAGUAUUUUUUCAUCCCUUCCUUUGGGGGAACAAAUUAAAGUUGUGUGUUUAUUUCUGCAAUGUGAAAAACACAAAGAGAAAGCCUCUCCAAAGGAUGAUGCCACUUCCUGUUCCAGAUAUGUGCCAAAAACCACAUGAAAAGGAAAAUACCCUCCAUGCACAGUCUUGGGCAAUAGGCUUGCCUUGUAAUGUUACUUCUAAUUCACUUCUACUUAAACUCACUCAAGGUACGACCCCUUGUCCCACACCACACAAAGUCACUCAAAGACAGGUGAUAAAGGAAUGACUACACUGACACAGCCUCUCAUAGUCAGAGAGAACAUGACUAUUUAUUAGUUAUUUGAAAGGCCCAGAGACACAGAGAAAAAUGAGAGCCAGAGAAAGCAAAAUCUUCCCAUCCAAUGUUCCUUUCUUGGGAACUUAGAUUGAAUUCAUGCCAUGCCGAGUUCCUGGCUUCUGGUACCCAUUGGCAAUCCUUGGCAUGCCUUGGCUUGCAGCUGCCUCACUCCAGUCUUGGAUUUCCCAUUGCAUUCUUCUCUGUGUGAUUUCUCCUCUUUAUUUUAUUUGAAAGGCAAGGGGUGAGGGGAAAAAGAGAAAGAUCUCUCAUUUGCUGGCUGACUCCCCUGGGCCAGGACAAAAUCGGAGACAGGGAGCUCAAUCCAGAUCUACCACUUGGGUAGCAGGGAUCCAAGUAUUCAAGCCAUCAUCUACUGUCUCCUAGGGUGCACAUUAGCAAGAAGCUGGAAUCCGGGUGGAGUCAGGACUCAAGCCCAGGCACUCUGAAAUGGGAGGUGGGGGUCCCAAGCAGUGUUGUUUUUAAAGAUUCAUUUGAAAGGCAGAGUUACAGAGGCAAGAGAGCGAGCAAGAUUGAUCCUCUGUCUACUGGUUCACUCCCGGAACAGCUCAUGGGCUGGAGCCUGGAAUUCCAUCAGGUGUUCACAUAGGUGGCAGAGGGCCGUCCUUUACUUCUUUCCCGAUUGCGUUAGCUGGUUCAGAAUUGGAGCAGCUGGGACUCGAACUGGUUCUCCUAUGGGAUGCCAGCAUCCAGGCUGCAGCUUAACCCACUGUACCCCAAUGCCAGCCACCCCAAACAGUGUUUUAAACACUGCACCAAAUGCCUGGUCCCCUCUUAUAAAGACAGCUGUUGUUGGAUUCAGGGCUCACCUUGAUCUAGAAUAAUCUCAUCUCAAGAUCCAUAACUUAAUCACAUCUACAAAGACUUUUUCUCCAAAUAAAAUCACUCACAAGUUUCA
rnacentral:lncRNA from 1 species